rnacentral:rRNA from 1 species
CCUGACAGGGCAGUGCCGCGGAGCUACCAUCUGCUGGAUAAUAGCUGAACGCCUCUAAGUUAGAAUCCAUGCCAGAACGGGACGAUUUUCUCCAGCACGUCGUACGAGGAUACGAAUAGGCUUCGGCCCCGGACCUUAGCAGGCCAUAACUCCUCUCUCGUAGAAGUCGGGAGAGGUAAUUGGCGGAUAGCAAUUUGACAGCGCGCUGGGAUGAAUCCUUUGCAGACGACUUAGACGUGUAAC